GCCCAGUCUUGGGUAUGUCUUUAUCAGCAGUGUGAAAACAGACUAAUACAAGUGCAUUACUUCUAUGAGUAAGUAAGGAGGAAGCAGAUUGCCCCAACAAGAUGCCUCUUUUGUUCAAACCAGAGCUUGUUUAUCACAGAGAAAGAUGGCAAUAAUGUCCUGAGAAAUACGAAUGACCAAGGAACGCUAUCAUACUGUUUUGUGUGUGUGUGUGUGUGUGUGUGUGUGACUUCCCUGGAUGUGUGGAAGUUGACUUCCCUGGAUUAGCCAACCAUUUAUACUGAAAAUUAUGACACUGGUGGAAAAAGACAGGGCAGACUGUAUUUUCUUUUCCUUUCAGUCAUUUCUUAUCAGCAAGCAAAGGUAGGCAGAGUUGGUAGAAUGCGUGAGCAUCAUGAUGUGCAAUAAAAACAGUUAAAUUCGUUUUGUGUAAGUUUCCACUAUUCUUGUAAGAAUGAAAUACACAUGAAUGUAUAAGCUAUGAGAUACAAAUUGUGUAAUUUUGGUGAUUCUAUAUAAAAAUUAGAUGCUCUUAUAUUUGCAUCUAAACCUGGCAUAGUACAAUAUAAAAAUGAAUGGUAAAAUUAUGCUAAUUAUUUAAAAUUUUAACCUUUCUCUACUCAGAAUGACAAAGCAAGUAAAAAUCACCAUAGGAAGUCAAGAAAAAGACACCAACAGAAGAAAGAAAAAACCCUUUAAGGGAACUUCUUCCUGCUUUUUGAACUAGGGACUUCACAUAUUUCUUUUGCAUUGGGCCCCACAAAUAACAGGCCACAAUGAUGCUAUGUUGCUUCCAAGACUAGAUUAUAAAAAUAAUACUCUGGCAUCCACCUCUUCUCCCCCUCCCCCCACGUCCAUUCUCUACCUACCAUCUCUUUCUUAGGGGUUGGGGGAAGGGAGGGAAUUUCAGCCAUUUUGUCAAGACACCUUGGCCAACAACCACCAAGAGCCUGAGUAUUGCCAGCAGACGCAUGAGUGAGCUUGCAAGUGGAUCUUCCCCCUGCUGAGCCUUGAGAGAACUGCAGCCCUGGCUGACAUCUUGAUUGCAGUUGUAGGAGGAACCCUAAGUCAGAAGCACAGCUAAGCCACACCCAGAUUCCCAACCCACAUAAACUCUGAGGUAUAAACAUUGUUGUUUUAAGCUGCUAAAUUGUAGGAUGAUUUGUAAUGCAGCAAUAGAAAAGGAAUACAUUGAGAUUCAGUGGAAUGACAGCUUCCUCCCAAGGACUGAGGAAGAGUCCUCUGACCUAAAUCUUUUAGGAUGAGCAUUUCGUGAUGGAGGAAGUGGCAUCACAGGUAGAAGAUGCUACGUAAUCUAGGCCAGGACAACAUUUCCCAAACCACUUUCUCACAGAACCCCAUCAUAAUCUUAAAAAUUAUUGGAAGACCCCAAAGAGCUUUUAUUUAUGCAUUCUAUACAUAUUGAUAUUUAUCAUAUUAGAAAAUGCAAUUGAGGCAUUUAAAAUUUGUAUUUAUCGAUGGAUUUAGAAACAAUAACAUACCCAUUGCAUGUUGAGAUAGAUAACAUUUUUAAAAAAAUGAAUAUGCUUUCUAAAAAUAAAUUCAGUGAGAAGAAUGGCACUGUGUACAUUUUUGAAAACCCCUUUAAUCCUUGGCUUAAUACAACAAAGCUGGAUUCUAUACCUGCUUCUUCAUUGAAUCUGUUGAAGAGCACAUAUCAAGUAGCCUCUGGAAAACUCCACUGUGCAUUUGUGUAAGAAUGAGAAUAAAAAAGGCAAAUAAUAUCUUAGUCGCUGGACCACACAUUGAGACAAACCGAUCUAGGGCAUGGAGAUGAGAGAGUCCAGAGCACAUACUGACUAAACCAUGUUGAAGAAGGAAAAAUAAGGUUAUUCUCAGAAGGCUUGCAUAUCAUAGUCAAUAGUUUAUUCAGUAGAGGAUUUGGCAGACAUUAUUUGCUGCCCAUCCAAAAGCCAUUUCUGCUCCCUUUCUUCCUUGCUAAAGAAUCCUUGAAUCUGUUCAGAUAUUAGAAGGUCAUGAGUUGAGGGAAAGCAUGUUGAUUGGUGUUCCCUUUCCCAUGAUUGCUAUAAGCACACAUAUGUGACACAACCAUGGUGAUGAAAAGAAAUCAGCUGUGGUUGGUGGUGAUAGCAAAGUGUAAGCUUUCAUUGAUACAGAGGCUUACUCAUUUCUGCCUUUGGUUAUUGUGCUGCUUCUGCUUGCUGUAGCCUUCCUGUUUCAAUGAUGAGAAGGCCAAAGGAAUCUGUGAGCUGACCCAGAGCCCGCAUGUUGUUGACAAGCCACAGAGUUGCCCAACCUCUUUUAUUGUUAUUUUGAUUCAGGGAAUUCCUGAAGAUUCUGAAAUUGUGAACUGACAAGCCCAUGGAUGUCUACAAAGAGUGAACUGAUCACUGUGGGCUGGCCUUUGAGGCAUCAGUGAGGUGAUUAUUAAGAUAGUCAAGUUAAAGGUACUAUGGGUCUGAACUACACUGGUGUCAACAGAAACAAAAAGAAUACAGUAAAUGUGAAAGAACUGUGGAGAUAAAUUUUUAGGACUUAGCAGCUGAGUAGAUGGACAUUGGCAUGCACGGACAGGGGAACAGAAGGCAAGCAUCAGCAAUGGCAUGGUUAAUUCUUCGCCUGCAUGAUUAGAAGAAUAGAACAGAAAUACUGCAGGUUGGGCGGGGCGGGGAGUUGAUGGGUUAAAUUGGGACAUACAGAGUCAAGAAACAGAUACCUAAAAUAGAGUGCAUGUGGUUGGUGCUUACAUAAAUGUUUGCUGUGAUCUGGGACAGAAAUGAUCUGAUAGUCAUAGGGUUUGUUUCCUCAUCUCCUUCACAUUUUUACUAAAAUAUUGCUGCCUUAGGAAAGCCUUCCUUGGUCAUCCUAUCUGAAAUUGCAAUAUUCAUGACCUACUUCCUUAACACUCUUGUCCAAUAUAUCCUAAUAAGUCCUGUGUCACUUCUACACUAUUUUUUUACCUGAGCAUUUAUUUAUAUUAAACUACAUAUAUGCUUACUUAUUUAUCAUGUUUUCCUAAUAGAAGGUAAGCUCAAUAAUGGAACUUUUUAUCUGUUUUGCUCACUUUGUAGCUCCAGUGCCUGGGACAAUGCCUGACACUUAGCAGACAGUCAGUGAAUGUGUUAUAUAAAUGAAUGAAUACUUGGAGCGUGAGAAUCAGAGCGGCAAAAAUAUUUGUCCAUAAUAUGCCUAAAGAUAAAAACGGAAGCCUCAGAACUAGAUAAGUGCAUUGUAAUUGAAUGCUGAAUUCACAGAGAUAACAUCUGAGAUUUAUUAAGCAUCAAGUCAUGUCUUAAAAAUUUUAUAUACAUUUUAGGAUUUAACUCUUAUAAAAAUCCUGUGGGUAAGUACUGUUGUCUCUCCCACUUUACAGGUAGAGAGGCUGAGGUUCAGAGAGAUUAGGUAACUCAACUAAGGUCAAAAAGUUGGUCAGGGAGCUGGGCCUUUAUAUAAAACACCAAAAUGAGCCCUUGUGUAGAACCCUUGAGAGAGAUUUUAAUCUAAUGGCUGCAAUUUUAAAUUGUGUUCAGUUGUGGUAUGUAGUUUUUCAAGGAAGAUGACCCACAGCCUUUCUUGCUUUCUGGCUUUGGAAAAGGUAGAGAUGACCACUUAAACAUUCAAGGAAAAUAAUCCCUGACUUUGAAAUCAGAAGAUCAUUCAGAUAAUAUACUUACUUAUAAUCAUCCUCUCUAAUGUCUGACUAAAGCAAGAGUAAAAGAUUGACUGAACAGCAACAAAUACUUUAACAGUUAAAAAUAAAAUUGAUUGGUCUGUUGGAAACACAAAGCACUUUUAGCCCCAUUGGUUUUCUACCUGAAACCAGAGUGAAGUGACCUGAAGGAUCUCAUAAGAUAUAUAAGACCAGCAACUAUAGGAAAGAUGAUACUUUUCUUGAAGUCAUAUAUUGUCUAAGUUGAAGUUACAUGACUUAGAAGGUCAGAUGUGCCAUCUUUUCCCUUAAUGCCCCAGAGAUUCUCUUCACCAAGAAAAUGACUACAUACUUAUUUCAUUUAAAACAGACUCAGCCUAGUGAUGGUUUUCCUUCUUCUAUAAAAAAGCAGGCUAUUCAUGAAGAUAAGGACCCUUUUGGCUUUGCAACACGUUUUCAACAUUUUACUCAUGGACAUGAGAUGGUAAAACAAGAUGAAAAUGAUUCUUUUAUUGGGCAUUCAAUUAAAAAAUGUCAUGACUUUGCCAUUAGUUUGUAUAAAUCCUAGAAAUGAGUUUCAACGAGAGUGUGUUAUUAUGUUGGGAAAGAGACGGAAGUGUAUAACCUUGGGCAGAUCGUUUAACUUCUCUCUGCUUUACAGUUACAAGCGGUAAUACAAAGAGACAGGAUUAUAUGAUCUCCAAGGUCCCAUCCAGCCCAUUUAACACGGCAUUGUGGCUCUGGAGACCUGGAAGCACUGCUAACUGUUCUCUCGAUUUUCUGACGCUCGGCCACAUCAACCUGUCAUACUAGUUGUGAGGAGAAGUCAAGGACAGUGACACAGCCAGCCAGUCUGAGGCAUUUUCCAUCAUCCUGAAGGAGUUGCCCUAUCCUGCUUUUCACUGGAGGGGGCAUGGAUGGGGAUCCUGGAUGACAAAGCAGUCACCUACUUGAACACUGCUAAUUAUGAAGUCAGAAAGAGGAAAGUUUGCAGAGUUUUGUAUUGGCAAUCAAACAUUCAGCCACAGGUCACAGUCUAGAACCAGACACAUCAGUGUCCUCAACUGCAAAGUAGCCAGGAAGCAGCAUCCCAUAACACAGUCCUAUGUCCACUGUUUUGGAGGUAGGAAAUUGGAAAUAUUCAGUGAGUAGCACUGUGAGUAGGGCAGUAAUUUCAUUUUUUAAUUAAACAAAUGGAAGAUGGCAGCUCCUCAGUUUUUUCUUCUAUGGUUUAUUUCUGAUGUCUUAUCUUAAUUAAUAUAUCCUGAUAUCUAUUUCCCAUUACUUAGUCUGUCCUUUUUCCCAAUAUCCAGUUAUUUUCAGUAAAUAUUUUCUGUCAUUACACCCAGCAGUCUAACUUUUUGCGACUUCAGUGUCUAUUCUCAUUCCUCAGUCCCAAAUCCAUUUUCUUUAUUAGAUUUAUCUGAACUCCUGCAGCUCUUUCUGUCUGCAUCACACAACUUAACCUUUAAUUACUUGCCUACUGGGCAUUCUACUUGGUUCUGCCUUUUAUCAGCUGAAUCAGAACAUAACUUUCUCUCACCACCUCCCUCCCCUACUCCAAAUUGACUUUACCUCCUGAUCCCCUAUUUCCAAAGUGGUUCCAUUAUUCUUCUCAGUGCUCAGCCUUAACAUCUUCGUUUCUGUUUGACUUCUAAUCUCUGGCAUCUCAUAAUUGUGCAGUUACCAAACUCUCCCCCAUGAACUCGAUGUGCUCAUGUGGAUCAAAUGACACAGUAAAAGUGAAAGCACGUUGUAGACUCCAAAUACAAGAGGAUACUGCUCUCUAUUCCUUCAACUAUUUUUCAUUCCUUAUUUAUUUAUUCAUCAUUCAUUUAUUCAUGUAGUUACUCAAGACCUAAGUGUUUUCUUGGAACUGUGUUUGUUACUGAGGAAGCCACAAAUUAAAUAUAAGUCUGCUCUUCAAGAGGUUACAUUCCAGUUAAGGAGAUUGCAUAUCCAUAUUUCCAGAAGUACCAAUGUGAUUGAAGCAAGGGAAAUUGCUAUGGGAUAUCUGACCAACUGGAUAUUCUGCUGGAAGAGCAGAAUGCACUUCAAAGACUAGCCAAUAAAACUCUCAUGUAAGAUAUGUUUUUCUUUUUGUUUCUAUUUAACUAAUGAAUAGAACCUCAGUGAUUUAAGGAAAGGCAGGCCCAUGAUAUGGAAAGAGAAGGGGAUGAUGAUGAUAUUCUGGAAUGGUCGUGCAAGGCUUCAGGAGGAAGUGAGAGUGAUGAUUGAAUCAUAUAACUCCUGAAUAAAUAUCUGGAAUAAACAUCUCCAGAAUAAAACAUCUGGAGGAUUCUCAGUAUACUUAGAAUAAAAUUGAGCCUCCUCAUGAAGGCCUACUAGCACCUUCAUGAUCAAACCCCUUUUCAACUUUGACCUUCUUUCUUAUUUUAGGGGCUCCUGACACACUGACCUCUGUCAGUUCCUUCAGCACACCAGGCUAAUCCCCAGUCUUGCGCCUUUGGACCAGAGGUUUUCUUUGCUCAGAAUACUGUUUCAACAGAUCUUUGCAUAGCUGGCUCUCGCUAUUUGACUAAAAUGUCAAUCCUCAGAGAGGUACUCCUUAAAUAUCCAAUCUUAAGUAGCAUCCCUUUCUCCCAGGAUCCUGUUUUUCAGAACUCUGUUUUCUUUUUAAAACACUUGUUAUCUGAAAGGAUGUCGUCUGCUUGCUUGUUUGUUCAUUUCUUUAUUGUCUAUUCCAUCUCACCCCUUCUCAGGAUGUAAGCUGUUUAAAGGCAAGGACCUUAUCUGUGUUACAUGCUGUAUUCCCAGGGCUCAGACAGAGCAUGACCUAUCGUAUGUACUAAAUAAAUAUCUCCUCAUACUGUAAAGCUUUCCUGACUCUAAUCUCUCUUUUGGGGACCAUUACCAAGCCUCAUUACUGGCUUCUUUCUCUUUAAUGCCACUUUUACUAUAUAGCAAAUGUUCUGGCCAGUGGGAUGUUGCUAGAAGUGCAGAAUGCACUUCUAAGACUAGCCAAAAUAAAGAAAGAAAGAAAGAAAGAAAGAAAGAAAGAAAGAAAGAAAGAAAGAAAGAAAGAAAGAAAAACAGAAAACAGAAAAAAAAACCUCUCACUUAAGUUUUUUUUCUUUCUAUUAAAUUAAUGAAUAGAACCUCAGUGAGGUUCUAUUUCCUUAGAAAUAGAAGGAAUUUCUAAGGCAGGUCCUUCUGCCUUAGAAGGAAAGGCAGGUCCACGAUAUGGAAAGACCCUUGGCCCCUGCAGGACCUUGUAUUAGGCUGCCUGAUUGGCACCAUCUUCUCUGACCUAUGAUGAGAGUAACAAGUGUGUGUGUGUGUGUGUGUGUUUGUGCGUGUGUGAGAGAGAAAGAGAGAGAGGAGAGAAAGAGAGAGAAAGAGAGAGAGAGAGAGAGAGAGAGAGAGACCUCUGAGAAUUUGGCACUUAUCUGUUAUAGCAUUUGAUAUUGCUUACCCUAUCAUACAUGGCAACAAAAUCUUCCAUCAUUUGGCUACAUGCACUUUUCUAACUCUUCAAGUACUAUACACAUUCUCAACCAUAAACUGUUCUUUCUUUUGAAAGGACAGUUUUUCUGUCUUAAUUCUACCUUGACUUCUAUCCUAUAGCAUUCUGCAGUGAAAAGGACAUGGACCUUGGAAUUAAAUUUGAGAUUGAACUCAAGAUCCACCUCAACCUACCAACAUAUAUUCGGCAUGUUACCCACCUCUCUGAACCUUGCUUUCCUUCUUUGUACAGAUGGAGGAAAGUCACGACUAACCAUUCUGUUGUGAAAGAUUAAAUAAGAUGGUGCACAUGACUUCAUAUAUGUUCAUUAAUACAUUUCUUUCUGUUUCUUCAAGAAACUUCUUUCCCUUCUUUACACAUGUAAAAGUCCUUUGAGUCUUACAAGUUCUUCACUAUGCCCCAGGUUUUCUAGAGCACAUUUGGAAAGAAUGUUGACAGAACAGGUAAGAGUACGACCUCUGGGUUCAAAUUUUGGCUUUGACCUUUAAGAGCUAAGUAAACUUAGACAAGUUAUUUAACACCUUUGUACCUCAAGUUCAUCAUCUUUAAAACUGGAAUACUAAUAGUACAUAACUUGUACUGCUCUUUUGAAGGUUCAAUGAGUUAAGGAAUGCAAAGUCCUUAGAAGAGUGUAGUGCACAAAGUAAGCACUACAACAAUAAUACUUAGUUGUUAUUUUAAAUUUUUUUUUUAAACCUUUCAAACCUAACCAUCCCAACUCCUACUGACACUGCUCUUUUCUUUCUUUUUUUAUUUAUUUUUUUGAGGUGGGGUCUCACUCUGUUCUUA
rnacentral:lncRNA from 1 species